AUUGAACGCUGGCGGCAGGCCUAACACAUGCAAGUCGAACGAGUGGCGGACGGGUGAGUAAUGUCUGGGAAACUGCCUGAUGGAGGGGGAUAACUACUGGAAACGGUAGCUAAUACCGCAUACCAUCAGAUGUGCCCAGAUGGGAUUAGCUAGUUGGUGGGGUAAUGGCUCACCAAGGCGACGAUCCCUAGCUGGUCUGAGAGGAUGACCAGCCACACGGGAACUGAGACACGGUCUAGACUCCGACGGGAGGCAGCAGUGGGGAAUAUUGCACAAGGGGCGCAAGCCUGAUGCAGCCAUGCCGCGUGUAUGAAGAAGGCCUUCGGGUUGUAAAGUACUUUCAGCGGGGAGGCGUUACCCGCAGAAGAAGCACCGGCUAACUCCGUGCCAGCCGCCGCGGUAAUUC
rnacentral:rRNA from 1 species